UUGAAUCAUGGAAGCGAUGAACUAUAAUCUGCAAUUUGGUCACUUUGAUUAUAGGGAGCAAGUAGUGAACCCACCCAACUUUCUC
rnacentral:ncRNA from 2 species